AUGGGUUCCGGGUGGGCUAGGUGCGGGGGCUGGGGACCGAAUGAGCCCCAAAGGCAAGGUUGAGGCUGGAACCAGUCCUUAGAUGGGGCUGCUGGUGGGGGUCGCGGUCUGUUUCUGAGGCGGGGUUGGAGGUGGGAUACGUUUUGUGCGUAUUUAGAUCGCUGAAUACUGGCGCCUGAAGGGCGUGGCUGCGGGCAGGGACCCACCCCAAGCAAGCACAUCAAAAGGUCUUCUACGUGCCUCUCGCCUCGUUCCUAGAGCCCUAACAGUGAUUUUCCCAUAUCGAUAAUCCUGCCGAUCCAUGAAGUAGUCUGUCUCCUCCGGUCAAUUCCACAAGGCAGGAUACAGUGCUAAACUCAAAUGCUGUCCCCUGCAUCUGGGGUUUUUUCAUUGUUGCUAAAUCAGUAAGCAAUCGAAGACAGCAUCACGUUUGCUAGACCUCAAAACUACUUGGCACGUAAGAUUUAAAGUUUCCCCUUUCUUUCAGUAGGGGGUGGGGGGAUUGCUUGUAGCUUCGUAAAGUCCCAGCCUUUAUACUUAAUUUUUUUCUUUUGGUCUCGUGUUUCCCUGGUUUUCUUUAUUUCUUUAUUUAGUUUUUCUUUAGAUAUUUACCUGCUAAGCUCCUGGUGGUCCCGAGUGACCCCUGCUGUGAGCAGUGGCCUCCCUUUCUAGACUGUCCCUAUCAACCUCAGGGGGACUAGAGUCUAUAUCCAAGGUGGGGGAAUCCUUAUUUUGUAACAAUUUGGUUUUCAGGAGGAUGCUCUUACAUGUUGAUAGGCAGCGGUACUCAUGAGAGCCCAAGCACACUGACCAGGAGAUUUACAAACUGAUUUGAGUUGAGAAACCCUCUGAGGUUUCUUGGGAGCAAGAACAAAAUGUUCCUUCCCCUUUUCCUUUUUCAUUAAACAUUGAGCCACCAGUCUCUAUGGAUGAGAUCCCUCAUAUCCCACUAGGUUGGGGAAUAAAUCACUACAGAAGCAAAGCAAGGAGCAACAGAGAGAUAGGUGAGGGCUGCUGGUGUCUUUGGUGGGGACAGCCACUGGGGAACUACUGAUCUCUUUGUCUGCCACAAGGGAUGUCAUGGAGGAGAUCUCUCUUGGUGUUGCAAGGAACAUCAUAACUAACAUGGUGAUGAAGAAAGGAAAAAAGAAGAGAUAAGACAAAGGGCAAAUGGGUGAGUUGCUGCCUACAGAAUAAGGAAUAAGUGGUGACUAAAGGCUUUCUCACUUUCAUCACAGAGGAACUCACUCCCAUGUGGAUUCUGCCGCUGUGGCUAUUCCAUACAAUGACCCCUUUCUGCCUGGGGCUCACCUCUAUAAGCACCUUGGAGAAUUCGUCUCUGCUCUGGCCUCAGCUCUUCCUGCUCCACCUCAGUGAACAGACUGUGUUUGCAGAGAUGAUGCCCUGCUCAUGGGGAAAGACACAUGAUGUGGGGAGACUGUGAAGGAAACAAGAAAUCUUUCCACAAAAUUGAUUCCAAUACUUUGGUUUUAAAGGAUUCUGAAGAUAGGCAAGUGCAGCUUUAGGAGAAGCAAAACAAUCAGAUUAUAUAACUAUUUCACAGGGCCCCAAAACAGACAUGCAUACUCCUUGUCCCACAUGACCUGACUCUUGAAUUCCAAGCCCAAGAUCUGCAAACUACCUAAAUUUUUUAAGGAUCGAGAAAAUACAAUCAGUGCAUUUUCAUGGGAAGCCAAAAGACUGCCCCACAAGGGCAGGAACCAUCCAUUCUGUCUUUACCAUGUACUACCAUUCUCUUCACAGUUGCUGGAACAGAUAUGUGAUGAAGAACUAUUAUGUGUAUGAACAAAUGAAUACGAAGGAAUGAGGUCAACUUUACCCACUGAGGCUAGGUUCCUAAAGUUCUCCAGCAUCACGUCUCUGUACAGGAUUUUCUGAGCAGGGUCCAGCAGUGCCCACUCCUCCUGUGAAAAGUCCACUGCCACUUCCUCGAAGGUCACCGAGUCCUAAAACAUCACAUGUACACAGGUUCAGCCAAGGACCAUCUCUAACUCUGAACCAGAAAGAUGGCGAGUGAGGCUGACAGGACUUGGGAAGGAGACCCAAUGUGUAGGAAGCUCAGACGUGCUUCAGAGUUCUCAUUAUUUGACCCAAGGCUCAAUUCUUGGAACUUUCCACUUUUGUCCUCACUCCCUGGACCAUAACAUCCAGCAGCUUAGCAGCUUUUCUAACACAGUGGAACUUAUAUUUCCACAACUAGGUUGUGAGGAAUCUGCCAGUCUUAUUGAAGAUCAAGACUGAGCAUACUGCAGAAUGAGAAAAAUACUUAGUGAAAAAAGUCUUUAUUUUCCUUCAUGGCACCGAGCAGAAUAUGGAACUAAUACUCACCCUGGAGGAUUAUCUGAAAAAAAAUUAACAAAUGUUGAGGCCUUUCCUAAGACAUCCUCUAUCUCCUAUUCUGAGAAGCCCAGAGAACUGGGGAAGCCUAAGGCCAGCCUGCCUGGGCUGUGAAGCUGUGGGUCAUGGGCAAGAGAUGUAUCCUUUAGCAACAGCAAUGAUUUUUGGAAACAGUAACUUCCCACAUACCUGUGACCAGGUUGCCAGCAAUCCUGCAGCCAUUCUUCCUCUUGUGUCUCCCUCCUGGCCAGGCUCCUGGACUGGAGCAUGCAGACCUAGAGAAGAAGAAAGAAGCCAUGAGAGUCUUGGCCUGACAGAUAUUCAACACUUACAGGCCUGGAAGCUUCCUCACACUAGCUUUAACAACGCACACACAAAUGCACAUAUAUGCACAUAUACAUACAAACAAUACAUUACAGAUUUUAUCUCCCUAUCCAAGAACAGUUAGGAAUGGGAAUACUGUAUGUACUUAUUAUUAUUUUUUUUGCGGUACACAGGCCUCUCACUGUCGUGGCCUCACCUGUUGCGGAGCACAGGCUCCGGAUGUGCAGGCUCAGUGGCCGUGGCUCAUGG